CACCCAGAGGCCCCCACUCAGCACCCAGAGGCCCCCACUCAUCACCCAGAGGCCCCCACUCAUCACACACAGGCCCCCACUCAUCACCCAGAGGCCCCCACUCAUCACACACAGGCCCCCACUCAUCACACAGAGGCCCCACUCAUCACACAGAGGCCCCCACUCAUCACACAGAGGCCCCCACUCAGCACCCAUUGGCCCCAACUCAUCACCCAGAGGCCCCACUCAGCACCCAUUGGCCCCAACUCAUCACCCAGAGGCCCCCACUCAUCACCCAGAGGCCCCCACUCAUCACCCAGAGGCCCCCACUCAUCACCCAGAGGCCCCCACUCAUCACCCAGAGGCCCCCACUCAUCACCCAGAGGGCCCCACUCAUCACACACAGGCCCCCACUCAUCACACACAGGCCCCCACUCAUCACACACAGGCUCCUGCAGAGUGUUCCGAGGCCACUAAAGCAUCUAGUAAACAAAAUAAACUCUGUUGUCCUCAUUGCAAGAUGAUUUUAAGCAAAAAAAACUUCAAAACACACUGCAGGAGAAAACACCCCCACCAAUUUGAGACGGACACUUGGCGUGAAUGAUGUCAAGGGUCUGAAGAUGACAGAUUUCUGGACAGAAAAAGGCGACAAGAGCAAGGAGGCCAACAGGUGAGAGGUCAUGUGAUUAAUUGGUCUAUAGUCAACUAUUGCUUGGAGACUAAAGCAUAAUCCCUCCACUUAUUUCAGGAUUUGGAAGUGGUCCCUCCAAAACCAAUUCAGCUAUUCAAAGCUAUUUCUGAAGCAUCAGAGGAAGCUGAGUACUUGACAGAACUGGGAACAGGGUAUGUUUCUCCAACCUUUAAUAGGGCCUGAGCACCAUGAAAGAUCAAACAUGUUCAAUGAUUCAAAGUCUGCUGUCACUGGUUUAUUUGACUAAGCUAAUAUAGUUGAUUGUACAAAAUAACAUGUCUAUGUAUAUAUUGUUUGUCACUCUCAGGUAAAUGCUAUGGUGUAUAUCUUUUUUAUCAUUAUAGGCAGCAUGAAUGAAAUAAUGCACAGUAAAAAAACAUUUGACAAGUUAAAGGUAGGGAUGUCUGUCUUUCAAAUGCAUGAACGCAAACCUAGUUGCACAGGUUUUGAGUUCAGUGAGAGCUGAACCUCAGUACAAAGUUGUAUGUGAGGUGAAAAUGUAAAUGUAUUACCAUUAUUU
ensembl:lncRNA